UUCUGCUAGCAGCGUCAGGAAUUGGCCGGUUUGUGGGACAAGGAUGAAUAGCAGGGAGUAUGAACCCCAUGACAUUUGUAACUCUGGUUGUGGACAGAGGUGAAAAUGGGCCAGGGUGUUGGGUAUUUCGACCAGUAGACGGAACAACAAAGAAGUGCUCCUUUCAGUGGCUCCUAGAUACAGACUUGAAAGGCUGGAUUCCUCAGUAUGUCAUUGAUCAAGCUCUUACUCAUGCCAUGGUAGAUUUUAUAAAUUGCAUUAGAAAUUAUGCUCCAGUAAUCAAGGGAAAAUCCUCAGAAAAGUGCGGCUUUAGGUAGUGUGAACCUACCUUUGUACAAGGUGAGAGCUUGACUGUCAUUUGUUAUUUGAGUUGAUGUAAUACACAUGAAUCAGUGUAUUAACAUAUUGAGAGAGAGACCUCAUGAUGUUGGAAACGCAAUCAUUUUUAGGUCCAUUGAGUAUGAUUUAUAGUAUUAUAUGCAAAUCAGAGAAGCUUUCACAGUACUGUUUAAUACAGUAAUUAGAAUUAUGAGUAAGUGCUGCUGUAUUGGAGAAGCUGUAAUUCAUUUUUGUUUGAAGAUUGAAAGCCCAUUUGUAAAGGCAGUGUCACAUGGACAGUUUUUUAUACACCAUCUUCCAAUAUCUUGGCACCAAUAAGAGCCCAAAGGUGUGUAUGUUGCCACAAAGGCAGGUAAGUAUCCUACUAGGCAAUACACGUCAUGAUGUAAAAAUGUCUUGUUUGAUCAUUUUGCAAGUGCGAAUUGCCAUCUUAUCCAUUUGGCUAAAAACAACUGUUUCCCACAUUUUGUAGACUUGGCCAAAUGCUAAAACUUAAAUUAUUGUUUUGCAACAAAGUCAUUAAAAAGAUCAUUUGAUCUUAAAAAUUUUCAUACAGUAACACUGCUAAUAUUAAUUAACUAUGUUUGUAUUGUGCUAAAUUGAAUUUUAAUGUUGACUUUGAACAUACUGGAUUAGCCAUUCUUCCUGCACAAACAAAGGUCCCAGUCUUUGGCCCCAAGAUGAUAAGUAUACAAGAGACUUCAGUUUUGCCAUCACCAAUGGCUGUUACAUAAAAACUCAGGUGGCAAGAUGCAAAAUUAUGCUAGAAACUGGCCAUGUUGCAGUGCCUUAAAGAUAGAAAUGGAGCUUGGUUGAUAUUAAUUUUAUGUUCAUACAGUGCUAUCUUCAGUGUGAUUACAAUUAAAGCAUAGUUUCACUGAAGGUCUCUGUGACAGAGCUGUGAUUAUACCUGUUAUUCAUACCUUCCUUUUACCUUAUGCAUUAUAUUUGAUAUGCAGAUUUUUUGUUUGUGUAGAUACAUUUAUUUACAUUCCCAUUGCUCCCAUUACAUUAUGGUGGCAUUUUUUAUGGACCCUCCAAAUGGGAAAUGUAUAACCUUUUAUAAAUAUUGCAGUUGAGUAAUUUGUUCAUAUUUCUGUAUAAAUUUUGUAAUAUUUGUUGAUAAAUUUCUACCUCUCACUAUCUGUGUGUUUAUGUUUUGAGUGUUUGGAUAUUCUGUAGGUUUGUGAAUUGAAAAGACAGUGCCUGUAUGAUAAUCAUUGGUGCCAGCUGAAGGUUGUACUAUGUUGUUUUUCAUUUGAGUUUGAAAAUUUUUGAUUUUUUAUAUUGUAAUAUUAAAAGGCUAAAUGGUGAUUCACAUUCAUUGUAUAAAGUUGAUUGGCAGGCCCCAUCUUCUGUAGGCAUUUAGUUUACUUUGAACUCAUCUACAUUCAGCUGUCCUUUAAUAUUUACUACUUUGAAUCCAUCUACGUUCAGAUUCUUGAAUGUAAAUAUUAAAAUUGUUGGUAUUUGUCUUUGUAGGUUGCCUCAUUAUUGAGGCAGAAUUAGCCCUAUCUUUUAUACAAAACCAAAACUGCAAAGUUUGCUCUCUGGUAUAAUCUAAGACACUUAUUGCUUUUGUAGCAUACUGUAUUGAAGAUGUUACGUAUAGUAUUCAGGAAUACCGUGUGUUACAAUCAAGGAAACAUUUAGUAGGUUAAGCACUCCUUGUCAUGAGUAUCAUGUUUAUGAUAGAUCCUUACUGCCACAUUCAUUCCUUCUCUUUCGUGUGAUUGACGUAUGCCAUACAGCAUAAUUUGGAUGAACCCACAUAAUUUUUACAAUUCAAUUCUAGUCCCUUUUAUGCCGUAUAAUGUGGACUUCACACUACAACCUUUUUGGCCUUCUGCCAUAGAUAAAUCAUUAUUUGAAUUCUAAAUGAUUGAUUAUAUCUCCUCUUAAGGGGUAGAAAGCAAAAAAUUAAAUGGUUCUUUUACUGUUUUUAGUGAAGAAAAAUAUUUCGUGAAAACCAGGAGAAAAGUAACUUUUGUAUUUAUAGUUUAAUUAAGAAAUUCUUCCAUGGCUAUUGGUAGAAGGUAUAGUAGAGCAGGUCAUCCAUGAAGUUGGUUUGUAUGAAUUUAGGAAAAAUGUUGAAAUCUGCAUUAAGGAAUUCCUGUCUGCUUUAAAGUAACGUUUGAUCUGUCAUACAUUAAAAAAGGUUUUCUGGUCAAAGAAAUGUUGAGUGAAAACAGAUGAAUGUACUUGAUGUUUGUGUUCCCACACAUUUUAAAGGGUAUAUCCUUCUCAACAUUACCUGUAUCCAACCCUAAUGCAGUGCAUACUGUAUCCAAUCUGAAGCUCUGCUGCUUUUUAUUAGAUACCACAAUAUAUAUUUUUAAUUGCUAAAGUGCUUGUUAUUUUUAAUUAUGUAACUUACCCAGUAAUUACAUAGCUAUAAGUUCCACUUAUUCGGCAGCUUAAAUGAAAAAUGUCGUGGAUAACACUUCCACUAUUGUGUAGGUGACCAGUCCCGCCCACUAGCGGGAGAAUAGGAACGACUGUGAGUAGCAAGCUCAGUUUUGUUCCUGCUGUCGUAUGGGAAAAACACCUUUGAUGGCGACAGCUUGUUCAAUAUUUUUCUGUUAUUUAACUGGGUUUCAGUAGUGUGCAUUCCCACUUGAAUGCAUAUUUAGUAACCUUCAAUGAAGUCUCAGGAUGAGUUUUUACUUGUUUUGUUAUCAUUCAGUUGUUUCAUCAACUGGCCUUUGUUUACGCUUAAAAGUUAUCAGUGUAUGUUACAUCAUUCCUCUGGGCUAAACUUUGUAUUGUUUUUCCAUUUAUUUCGAUGGAACACACUAGUGCCUUGUACCGUCUGAUGCAGAGGCUUCAGUGGUGUGGGCGUCAAAUCUCCCACAAGCACCAGAGCAUCCAUGAGUACUCAUAAGUAGUGUCCAUGAGCGCCCAGGACCAUCCAUAAGCACUCAAGAGUGUUCAUUAGUGCUCAAAAGCAUCCAAUGGCGCCCAGGAGUUGUACAUAAGCUCCCAAAAGUGUCCAUGAUUGCCCAUGGUCAAUAUCAUUUGCCUAAAUUGAAGAUCAUACAAGAAGAAAAUAGACUCCUUCGCUGGACGAAUGUGAGGCUGACAAGAAAACACUUAAAAACAAUUAUAAAAUAUAAAAAACACCUUAUUUUAAAAAACUAUAAGAACCUCUGGAGGGAUUCAACCCUGUGGAGGGCUGUACAUGAACCAAAUAAAGGGUAUAGUCAGCACACAUUAUUUUCUCAACUACUACUAGCCAUAUAAUGUUAUCCACUUGCUUCCCACUGGGCUUCCUCGCUUCUUCCCAUGCCAUUGUCAGUUUUGUGGCAGAGUUAGAAAUGUUAACCCUGUGAUAUUGAAGUGUUGUGCAGUGGAGGUGGCUAUUCAUCCCUCGAUUCUCCUAGACAAAAGGUCCUUGUCAGACUCCCAUGCACCUGGAAGUCCAAGGGAGGUCAAGGGGUGAUACACAUGAUUAGUCACUCCUUCAGAUAAACCUGUUGCUGGUCCCAGUUAUUGACAGACAGCCAUAGGAAAAGCAUCUUACUGGAUGUGUAAUGGAGGGUGUAGCUUUCCGUCUGUAUUGAAUUUCCAAACCCAGUCCCCGUCAUAUUCCCCAAAACCUGGGAGGAGGCAUACUGUCAGUCUAUGGGGUUCAUAGGGGUUUGCCCUACCCCUCAGUUGAACCUGUUGUCUGCAGGUUUUGACAGACAACUAUUGAAAAGGAGUCCAUAUAGUGCGCUUGUCCUGACUUCUUGAGUUAUGGAUCCUAGUGCUGUGUCUCUGUCAGGUUUUGGCUCCAGGUAACUGCUCUUCAGUUGAGCCUCUAUCAGGUUCUUGACAGACAGCCACUAAUAAGAGAACUUCAUGGAGGUGUAGUGGAAGUGGUGGCUAUCCAGCCUGCUGGAUGUCCUAGGCUUUAGUCCAUGUCAUUUUCCCCUUGGGAGGGGACAUCCUGACAGUCCAGCAAAGUCCAAAGGGUCUACUGUAUAAUCGGCCUCUCAGCUGCACCUGUAGCAAAUCCCAGAUGAUGACAGACAACCAGUUGAAAGACACCUUUUCCAGUAAUCAUUUUUCUUAUAGUUCUGAUGCUUCAAGCCCGGAACAGAGACGCCAGUGGCGCUUCAGUGACAAAUAGCAACCAAUGAAAAGGUCGGCAUGGAUGCAUCUAGCAUCCCUCAGGUGCCUCCCAAAAAGGCUAAAGAAAUGAGACCUUAUUGUUGUUCCUGGGAUAGUUCAGAGAGUUGUUUUCGAUUUAUUGUUCUCCCAGAGUCCAUUUUUCUCAGUCUGAGUGCCCAAUGGCAUGAUAUACAAGACUUAAGGACGGUUCUCGGGUUCCUGAAUGCCCUAUAGCACCAGUGCACCCAUUAGCAUCAGAGCUCCCAUAGGUGCCAGAGAGCCCACUGGCACCAGAGCAUCCAUUGGCACCAGAGCACCCAUUGCCGUUAGAAUGCUCAGUAGUUUGCAGGCAACUGGAGGUUUGGGGACAAACAGUAGUGAACAAGCUCCCAGAGUUUAGUGAGCGCCCAGUAGUGGAGCAUACUGCUUCUUCUGAGCCCCCAUCAAAGCCCUGGCAUCCAUUUGCACCAGCACUUACUUCAUCUGCUUCUUCAAGUGCUACUUUGACAGUACUGGACCCAGCUUAGGCUCCCAUCCAACAGUGUUUGGAUGUCAUUUUAGGUUUUUCUCAAACCUUCCACUGUCUCUAAUGCAGUAGAGGCUCCUUUGUUGCCUGGUUGUCAGCAGGAGAAGAGAGUCAAAUCUGGAUGAGGCUUCACCUCCUACUGUUUAUGCUUCCCUUCGUUUCCUUUUGGAGAACUUCCCAGCCUUCCUAGUGAGUAGUUUAUCCUCAGAUACAGUUAAAUUACCCAAUGUGGUGCUAUCUACUUUGUAGACUGCUGGUUAGCGGACAAAAGAGAGCAAGGGAAGGCUGCCUUCUGUUUCCCUCUGUACUUAUUGAAGAGAAAAACUCAUAUUACACCAUGGUAGAAG